UGAAAAGAGCAGAGGGGCAUCCAAGAGUGACAAGAAUUGCUUUCUGUCAUCAUCAAGGCUGCGUCAGCUCACGCUGUGGUCAGAUCCCUCUUGUACUGGUCCCAGAAGAGAAAGACUAUGACAUUAUUGCUCCUCAGGAAGAGGUGAAGCCCUCUCACCCCCAAUAUGCAUCAAUGUCAGAAUCAGGAAGCAGAUGAGAGGUACACAGCCCCCUGAGAAGCAGUGCUUGACACAGGCUACUGUAAUAGGUGUCCACCCAUCUGAAUCCUACUGCCCAGCACUCAGCUCAGAUGGAACAAGAGGCUGCCAGACGAGAGGCUGGGAGUUGCAGAAGCACCUGUUACAGCAGAAGUCAUUUGGCAAGCCAAACAAAAUGCGGAUUCAUCCAGGCCACCUGUAAAGGAAUUUAAUGCCUAACAACCUAUGCAAAGCUUCUAAUUGUCAUAAUUAAUUUGGCAUCUAUUCACUGCUGGCACCAGUUUGAUCGCUCCCAUUUCAUAGAUCUUUACAAUGUCACACUGUUGCUCCAGCUUAUUUAGAAAUCCUGGAAAGAGGGGAAGUGGAGAUUGCAGGGCAGCCUCAGCCCUCAGAAAAGUUUCUCUGCUUUCUCAUGUGUCCCAGCUGACAGGAUGCCAGGCCAGCAAGCUAAUGACCAACAGCUGAGCGCCAUGGCAAAGAACGAUAUAAAGACAAUCAUCUGGCUUCUGCUACUUUACAAACAAAAGGCAAGAGAUAGCAUA